rnacentral:rRNA from 1 species
GAUGAACGCUGGCGGCGUGCCUAAUACAUGCAAGUCGAGCGAACAGACGAGGAGCUUGCUCCUCUGACGUUAGCGGCGGACGGGUGAGUAACACGUGGAUAACCUACCUAUAAGACUGGGAUAACUUCGGGAAACCGGAGCUAAUACCGUAUAAUAUAUUAAUCCGCAUUGUUCCAUAGUGAAAGACUGAUUUGCUCUAUCUUAUAGCUGGAUCCGCGCCUCAUUAGCUAGUUGGUAAGGUAACGGCUUACCAAGGCAAUGAUACGUAGCAGACCUGAGAGGGUGACCGCCCACACUGGAACUGGGACACGGUCCAGACUCCUACGGGAGGCACCAGUAGGGAAUCUUCCGCAAUGGGCGAAGGCCUGACGGAGCAACGCCGCGUGAGUGAUGAAGGUCUUCGGAUCGUAAAACUCUGUUAUUAGGGAGGAACAAAUGUGUAAGUAACUAUGCACGCCUUGACGGUACCUAAUCAGAAAGCCACGGCUAACUACGUG